AACGAACGCUGGCGGCAGGCCUAACACAUGCAAGUCGAGCGAGGACUUCGGUCCUAGCGGCGGACGGGUGAGUAACGCGUGGGAACGUGCCCCCUUUCUACGGAAUAGCCCCGGGAAACUGGGAGUAAUACCGUAUAAGCCCUACGGGGGAAAGAUUUAUCGGGAAGGGAUCGGCCCGCGUUGGAUUAGGUAGUUGGUGGGGUAAUGGCCUACCAAGCCGACGAUCCAUAGCUGGUUUGAGAGGAUGAUCAGCCACACUGGGACUGAGACACGGCCCAGACUCCUACGGGAGGCAGCAGUGGGGAAUCUUAGGCAAUGGGCGCAAGCCUGAUCUAGCCAUGCCGCGUGAGCGAUGAAGGCCUUAGGGUUGUAAAGCUCUUUCAGGGGGGAAGAUAAUGACUGUACCCCCAGAAGAAGCCCCGGCUAACUCCGUG
rnacentral:rRNA from 1 species